CCCUUCCCUCCCCACCCCUCGAUCUGCGUCGAUCCGCUGCCUGCCUGCCUGCGCCGAUGAACUGCGACCUUGGAUUUGGAUGUGGUUGCUGCGUGUUCUGGUCUCGCUGAUCUGACGGUGGCGAUGUAGGACAUCUAGAUUCUAGGGCCUUGCUUAGUGAAUUCAGCCCCAUGGCCUGGUCAGAAAUUUAUUUUGGUCAAGGAACAGAGAUAUUAGUUUCUCCUUUGCAGAAUUUCUGUAGUAUGGUGAUUUAUUGCUUCGUUUGAAUCGUCCGUACCGUCGAGCGCAGAUCCAAACCUUUAUCUACUUUGAAACUUACUAGAGCACGGAAAACUGAAAUUUGAAGUUCUGAACUUGGUCAAAAUUGUUUGGACGAGGAACCAGAGAAUAGUCUCUCCUUUCCAGGAUCCUACUGUAGUAUGGUGAUUUCUUGCUUUCUUUUGUACUAAAACCAGAGCCGAAAUCGUUUGGACUGUAGACAUUCUUGCUCCACUACACCAUUACAUCACACAAAACCAGAAACAGUUGUGGCAAACAUUGGUCUCCUCCAAACUCACAGCAAACCCAGAUCAUAAGCGCCUCCUAGCUUCACAGUGGAGAUGUUGACGAACGCCACCUUCAUCCUCUUCAUAGGCGAUUGUGAUGGCGAAUUCACUAUCUCCAGCGGUGUACUUGGGCUGAGAGUGGGCAACUUUGGUUCCCAGGGUAGCUUGGAGUGAGGCGGAGAGGUGGUGUCAGUGCCAGGAUGGUACAGAGCAUGCCAAAGACUGUUGGAGGAUGACAGGUUGCUCAUCUCACCUCCAGCUAUCAGAUCACAUCCUGUCACCCCACCGACAGCAGGCAUCAGGCGGCAGGCCAGCAGUGAUUACCGCUGGCGCUCCAGCGGUACUGAUGAUACUACGAUCAACUCCCCAACCAGCUGUUCUCCAAUUUAGCCAUUCAGCAAAGGCCAACCCUAGGUUGGUGUGUAAAUUUAUCCUUGUUUAUUCCAUCUCGUGAAACCCCAAAUAUAUUGUAACUAGAAAACUAGUCUAUCUUUGGAUGGAUGCAUGCUUAAUUCUAAUUAGACUGUGUUUUAUCUUUUGUAAUUUCAUAAUUUGCUAGGAAUAUGGUGGAUAGAUAAUACCCAAAAGAUGCCAGGCACUAGCAAAAGUUUGUAACACAAAGCAGAACACAUAUUGUGCUGUUAAAGAGAAGAGCAGAGUGAAUAUGGAUGAAAUUAUUGCCGA